UACAGAGGUCUCAAGCGUUGUUCGGAUUCAUUGGGCGUAAAGGGUGCGUAGGUGGCGGGGUUAGUCAGGUGUGAAAUCUCGGAGCUCAACUCCAGAACUGCCUUUGAUACUGGGGAUCUCGAGUCCGGGAGAGGUGAGUGGAACUGCGAGUGUAGAGGUGAAAUUCGUAGAUAUUCGCAAGAACACCAGUGGCGAAGGCGGCUCACUGGCCCGGUACUGACGCUGAGGUGCGAAAGCGUGGGGAGCAAACAGG
rnacentral:rRNA from 1 species